GUCUAGGAGGACUUAUGUGAACCAUGAGUGCGGCGCAGGGCACAGACUAAUGCCAAUUCUGAGUAACUCACUCCUUUUUCAGGAAUGAGUGCAGAGGAAAAUAAAUGGACUUUUCAGGCUUUGCCAUCUAUUACAGAAAAACAAAAGUAGUAUUGUUACUGAAACACGAGGGAUUCAGUCUAGGGCCUGCUGCUCGCUUCACAGAAAGCCAUUGACUGAGGUCAUGAGUAUUGGCAAGGAAGGAUUUAACCAGGUGCUGCAGCCAAGAAGAUGGGAGCUCAGCCUCAAAUCCAUCUCCAUGACCAAGUAAAACUGCAGGCUUAUACAGCUGGGAAGAUGUGUAAGAAAUGUGUAAGAAAACAGGAACUGGGGAGGGGCAGGGAAGCAAUCAUGAGGAGUGAGAGGCCUGGCAUCUCAUUGUCUGGAUGUGGUGAUCUGGCUCUCCUUUGAUAUCGAACAGGAAAGCUUUGGAGCAAAGUUCCUCAACCGUGCUGAGCCAACAGUGGUUCCAGUGGAUGCAGCAAUGUGAGUUAGGAUAAAGAUCUGAAGAUAAAAGAGG
rnacentral:lncRNA from 1 species